GACGAACGCUGGCGGCGUGCUUAACACAUGCAAGUCGAACGGAAAGGCCCUGCUUUUGUGGGGUGCUCGAGUGGCGAACGGGUGAGUAACACGUGAGUAACCUGCCCUUGACUUUGGGAUAACUUCAGGAAACUGGGGCUAAUACCGGAUAGGAGCUCCUGCUGCAUGGUGGGGGUUGGAAAGUUUCGGCGGUUGGGGAUGGACUCGCGGCUUAUCAGCUUGUUGGUGGGGUAGUGGCUUACCAAGGCUUUGACGGGUAGCCGGCCUGAGAGGGUGACCGGCCACAUUGGGACUGAGAUACGGCCCAGACUCCUACGGGAGGCAGCAGUGGGGAAUAUUGCACAAUGGGCGGAAGCCUGAUGCAGCAACGCCGCGUGCGGGAUGACGGCCUUCGGGUUGUAAACCGCUUUCGCCUGUGACGAAGCGUGAGUGACGGUAAUGGGUAAAGAAGCACCGGCUAACUACGUGCCAGCAGCCGCGGUGAUACGUAGGGUGCGAGCGUUGUCCGGAUUUAUUGGGCGUAAAGGGCUCGUAGGUGGUUGAUCGCGUCGGAAGUGUAAUCUUGGGGCUUAACCCUGAGCGUGCUUUCGAUACGGGUUGACUUGAGGAAGGUAGGGGAGAAUGGAAUUCCUGGUGGAGCGGUGGAAUGCGCAGAUAUCAGGAGGAACACCAGUGGCGAAGGCGGUUCUCUGGGCCUUUCCUGACGCUGAGGAGCGAAAGCGUGGGGAGCGAACAGGCUUAGAUACCCUGGUAGUCCACGCUGUAAACGGUGGGUACUAGGUGUGGGGUCCAUUCCACGGGUUCCGUGCCGUAGCUAACGCUUUAAGUACCCCGCCUGGGGAGUACGGCCGCAAGGCUAAAACUCAAAGGAAUUGACGGGGCCCCGCACAAGCGGCGGAGCAUGCGGAUUAAUUCGAUGCAACGCGUAGAACCUUACCUGGGUUUGACAUGGAUCGGGAGUGCUCAGAGAUGGGUGUGCCUCUUUUGGGGUCGGUUCACAGGUGGUGCAUGCCUGUCGUCAGCUCGUGUCGUGAGAUGUUGGGUUAAGUCCCGCAACGAGCGCAACCCUUGUUCACUGUCGCCAGCACGUUAUGGUGGGGACUCAGUGGAGACCGCCGGGGUCAACUCGGAGGAAGGUGGGGAUGACGUCAAGUCAUCAUGCCCCUUAUGUCCAGGGCUUCACGCAUGCUACAAUGGCUGGUACAGAGAGUGGCGAGCCUGUGAGGGUGAGCGAAUCUCGGAAAGCCGGUCUCAGUUCGGAUUGGGGUCUGCAACUCGACCUCAUGAAGUCGGAGUCGCUAGUAAUCGCAGAUCAGCAACGCUGCGGUGAAUACGUUCCCGGG
rnacentral:rRNA from 1 species